rnacentral:rRNA from 1 species
GAUGAACGCUGGCGGCGUGCCUAAUACAUGCAAGUCGAGCGAAAAGACGAGGAGCUUGCUCCUCUGACGUUAGCGGCGGACGGGUGAGUAACACGUGGAUAACCUACCUAUAAGACUGGGAUAACUUCGGGAAACAGGAGAUAAUACCAGAUCAUAUAUUGAACCGCAUGGUGCAAUAGAUAAAGACGGUUUUGCUGUCACUAAUAGAUGGAUCCGCGCCGCAUUAGCUAGUUGGUAAGGUAACGGCUUACCAAGGCAACGAUGCGUAGCCGACCUGAGAGGGUGAUCAGCCACACUGGAACUGAGACACGGUCCAGACUCCUACGGGAGGCAGCAGUAGGGAAUCUUGCGCAAUGGGCGAAAGCUUGACCGAGCAACGCCGCGUGAGUGAUGAAGGUCUUCGGAUCGUAAAACUCUGUUAUUAGGGAAGAACAGAUGUGUAAGUAACCAUGCACGUCUUGACGGUACCUAAUCAGAAAGCCACGGCUAACUACGUG